UCUUGGUGGUGGUAGCAAAUACUCAAGUGAGAACCUUGAGGACUGAGGUGGAGAAGGGUUCCAUGUGAACAGCAGUUGAACAUGGGUCAGUCGGUCCUAAGGGAUAGGAGAAAUCCGUUCCGAGGCGGGACCUCUACUUACAGCAAGUCCCGCUGAUGACCGAAAGGGAAUCGGGUUAAUAUUCCCGAACCCGGACACGGAGAUCGUCCUCUUCGGAGGUACAUUGCGGUAACGCAAACGAGCUCGGAGACGUCGACGGGAGCACCGGGAAGAGUUAUCUUUUCUUUGUAAGGAUUCGACUCCCUGGAAUCGGCUCGCCCGGAGAUAGGGAUGGUGUUUCCGUAAAGCACCGCGCCUCUUGCGGUGUCCGGAUCGCUCCCGUCGGCCCUUGAAAAUUUAGAGUGAGAGAUAGUGAUUUUCGUGCCGGACCGUACCC
rnacentral:rRNA from 1 species